rnacentral:rRNA from 1 species
AUGUAAUCUUAGCGGCGGACGGGUGAGUAACGCGUACGCAAGCUGCCUUGCACAGAGGGAUAACACCGGGAGGAUGGUGCUAAUACCACAUGAUAUCAUAACAAGGCAUCUUGAAAUGAUCAAAGGAGAAAUCCGGUGCAAGAUGGGCCUGCGUCCGAUUAGUUAGUUGGUGAGGUAACGGCUCACCAAGGCGACGAUCGGUAGCCGAACUGAGAGGUUGAUCGGCCACAUUGGGACUGAGACACGGCCCAGACUCCUACGGGAGGCAGCAGUGAGGAAUAUUGCGCAAUGGGGGGAACCCUGACGCAGCAACGCCGCGUGAAGGAAGAAGGCCUUCGGGUUGUAAACUUUUUUGAUUGGGGAAGAAAAAAAUGACGGUACCCAAUGAACAAGCCACGGCUAACUACGUGCCAGCAGCCGCGGUAAUACGUAGGUGGCGAGCGUUGUCCGGAAUUACUGGGUGUAAAGGGCGUGUAGGCGGGAUUGUAAGUCAGAUGUGAAAUUCCAGGGCUUAACUCUGGAGGUGCAUCUGAAACUAUAAUUCUUGAGUGCUGGAGAGGAAAGCGGAAUUCCUAGUGUAGCGGUGAAAUGCGUAGAUAUUAGGAAGAACACCAGUGGCGAAGGCGGCUUUCUGGACAGUAACUGACGCUGAGGCGCGAAAGCGUGGGGAGCAAACAGGAUUAGAUACCCUGGUAGUCCACGCUGUAAACGAUGGAUACUAGGUGUAGGAGGUAUCGACCCCUUCUGUGCCGGAAGUUAACACAAUAAGUAUCCCACCUGGGGAGUACGGCCGCAAGGCUGAAACUCAAAGGAAUUGACGGGGGCCCGCACAAGCAGUGGAGUAUGUGGUUUAAUUCGAAGCAACGCGAAGAACCUUACCAGGGCUUGACAUCCCUCGGAUAACAUAGAGAUAUGUUAGUCCUUCGGGACGAGGAGACAGCUGGUGCAUGGUUGUCGUCAGCUCGUGUCGUGAGAUGUUGGCUUUAGUCCCGCAACGAGCGCAACCCCUAUUGUUAGUCGCCAUCAUUAAGUUGGCACCUCUAACGAGACUGCUGGUGACAAAUCGGAGCUAGUUGGGGACGACGUCAAAUCAUCAUGCCCCUUAUGUCCUGGGCUACACACGUACUACAAUGGUCACUACAAAGGGAAGCAA